UCUGGUCCGGCCGGUCCCGGCCCGCUUCGCAGUCGCCGCGAGAAAGAUGUCUGGGGGAGGAAGGCGUGUGACAUUGUGAUGUCCCUGGCCAGCUGCAGUCCUGCCACUGACCACCAGGUGGCAGCAGAAACCAAGGCAGGAGGCUCACCCUUCGCUGCUUCUGGGCUUUUCCAGAUCUCAGAGGUGCGCAACUGGAAGAUGUGCGGGGAUGAUGAGUGGAGAGAGCCAGAGCCAUGGAGAGAGGGACUCUCUCUGGAGGGAAUUAGACUGCACUAAAUGCUGAGUACCUCCGUUGUGCAGCCCCUUUGUUGGAUGCUUACGCUCAUCCCCCAGGAAGUGGGGACUAGUAUCAUGCCCAUUGGACAGAUGAGGAAACUGAGCG